rnacentral:rRNA from 1 species
UGGGGAAUAUUGGACAAUGGGGGAACCCUGAUCCAGCCAUGCCGCGUGUGUGAAGAAGGCCUUAUGGUUGUAAAGCACUUUAAGCGAGGAGGAGGCUACUGAGACUAAUACUCUUGGGUAGUGGACGUUACUCGCAGAAUAAGCACCGGCUAACUCUGUGCCAGCAGCCGCGGUAAUACAGAGGGUGCGAGCGUUAAUCGGAUUUACUGGGCGUAAAGCGUGCGUAGGCGGCUUUUUAAGUCGGAUGUGAAAUCCCCGAGCUUAACUUGGGAAUUGCAUUCGAUACUGGGAAGCUAGAGUAUGGGAGAGGAUGGUAGAAUUCCAGGUGUAGCGGUGAAAUGCGUAGAGAUCUGGAGGAAUACCGAUGGCGAAGGCAGCCAUCUGGCCUAAUACUGACGCUGAGGUACGAAAGCAUGGGGAGCAAACAGGAUUAGAUACCCUGGUAGUCCAUGCCGUAAACGAUGUCUACUAGCCGUUGGGGCCUUUGAGGCUUUAGUGGCGCAGCUAACGCGAUAAGUAGACCGCCUGGGGAGUACGGUCGCAAGACUAAAACUUAAAUGAAUUGACGGGGGUCAUAGCUGUUUCCUG